rnacentral:rRNA from 1 species
UACAGAGGGUGCGAGCGUUAAUCGGAAUGACUGGGCGUAAAGGGCACGUAGGCGGUCAGACAAGUUAGAUGUGAAAUCCCAGGGCUUAACCUUGGAACUGCAUCUAAAACUGUCUAACUAGAGUUCACUAGAGGGAAGCGGAAUUUCCGGUGUAGCAGUGAAAUGCGUAGAUAUCGGAAGGAACAUCAGUGGCGAAGGCGGCUUUCUGGAGUUGAACUGACGCUAAGGUGCGAAAGCGUGGGGAGCGAACAGG